rnacentral:hammerhead_ribozyme from 1 species
AUCCAACUGACGAGUCCCAGACAGGACGAAACACGCUUCCUGGAU